rnacentral:rRNA from 1 species
CGACCGCCUGGGGAGUACGGCCGCAAGGUUAAAACUCAAAUGAAUUGACGGGGGCCCGCACAAGCGGUGGAGCAUGUGGUUUAAUUCGAUGCAACGCGAAGAACCUUACCUGGUCUUGACAUCCACGGAAGUUUUCAGAGAUGAGAAUGUGCCUUCGGGAACCGUGAGACAGGUGCUGCAUGGCUGUCGUCAGCUCGUGUUGUGAAAUGUUGGGUUAAGUCCCGCAACGAGCGCAACCCUUAUCCUUUGUUGCCAGCGGUCCGGCCGGGAACUCAAAGGAGACUGCCAGUGAUAAACUGGAGGAAGGUGGGGAUGACGUCAAGUCAUCAUGGCCCUUACGACCAGGGCUACACACGUGCUACAAUGGCGCAUACAAAGAGAAGCGACCUCGCGAGAGCAAGCGGACCUCAUAAAGUGCGUCGUAGUCCGGAUUGGAGUCUGCAACUCGACUCCAUGAAGUCGGAAUCGCUAGUAAUCGUGGAUCAGAAUGCCACGGUGAAUACGUUCCCGGGCCUUGUACACACCGCCCGUCACACCAUGGGAGUGGGUUGCAAAAGAAGUAGGUAGCUUAACCUUCGGGAGGGCGCUUACCACUUUGUGAUUCAUGACUGGGGUGAAGUCGUAACAAGGUAACCGUAGGGGAACCUGCGGUUGGAUCACCUCCUUA